CACGUAGGGGGCGAGCGUUGUCCGGAUUUAUUGGGCGUAAAGAGCGUGUAGGCGGCUUGGUAGGUCCGCUGUGAAAACUCGAGGCUCAACCUCGAGAUGUCGGCGGAAACCACUUGGCUAGAGUCCGGAAGAGGAGAGUGGAAUUCCUGGUGUAGCGGUGAAAAUGCGCAGAUAUCAGGAAGAAACACCUAUGGCGAAGGCAGCUCUCUGGGGACGGUACUGACGCUGAGACGCGAAAAAGCGUGGGGGGAGCGAAACAGG
rnacentral:rRNA from 1 species